ACAUGCAUACAACAUAGUGUUAAUGCACUGGAUCCCAAUAAAACUCCGCAGUUAAGCGCACUCAGGAUAAAGUAGUACUAGGAUGGAUGACCACCCGAGAAUUCCUAGUGUUUUACAUGCC
rfam:Picea glauca, whole genome shotgun sequence.